UACGAAGGGGGCUAGCGUUGCUCGGAAUCACUGGGCGUAAAGGGUGCGUAGGCGGGUCUUUUAAGUCAGGGGUGAAAUCCUGGAGCUCAACUCCAGAACUGCCUUUGAUACUGAGGAUCUUGAGUUCGGGAGAGGUGAGUGGAACUGCGAGUGUAGAGGUGAAAUUCGUAGAUAUUCGCAAGAACACCAGUGGCGAAGGCGGGUCUCUGGGCCGAUACUGACGCUGAGGAGCGAAAGCGUGGGGAGCGAACGGGG
rnacentral:rRNA from 1 species